AGCUUUGAGCAGUGGCAAUAUCAUAGGCAAUGAGGUGUACCCGAGGCGCAAUUAUUGCUAAUUAAAAAAACAACAACAACAAAAAAAACAUCCUAAAGCAAGGCUGUUGCACUGAUUUAGGUUCUAGUAUUCAUUACGAUGG
ensembl:snRNA U4 U4 spliceosomal RNA